rnacentral:rRNA from 1 species
UACGGGGGGAGCAAGCGUUGUUCGGAUUUACUGGGCGUAAAGGGCGCGUAGGCGGCCACCGCAAGUCGAUUGUGAAAUCUCCGGGCUUAACCCGGAAAGGUCAACCGAUACUGCGGGGCUAGAGUGCAGAAGGGGCAACUGGAAUUCUCGGUGUAGCGGUGAAAUGCGUAGAUAUCGAGAGGAACACCAGUGGCGAAGGCGAGUCCCUGGACAACUCCUGACACUGAGGCACGAAAGCUAGGGGAGCAAACAGG